rnacentral:rRNA from 1 species
GCGCAGCAGGCGCGAAAACUUCGCAAUACGCGCAAGCGUGACGAGGGAACCCCAAGUACUCUUGCUUUUUGCAGGAGUUUUUGCCAAGUGUAAACAGCUUGGAGAAUAAGGGCGGGGUAAGACCGGUGCCAGCCGCCGCGGUAACACCGGCCGCCCAAGUGGUGACCGCUAUUAUUGGGCCUAAAGCGUCCGUAGCCGGUCCAGUAAGUCUUUGGGUAAAUCCUACUGCUUAACGGUAGGAAUUCUGGAGAUACUGCUGGACUUGGAGCGGGGAGAGGGGGAAGGUACUCCGGGGGUAGGGGGGAAACCCUAAAAGCCUAGGGGGACCGCCAGUGGCGAAGGCGUUCGACUAGAACAGGCUUGACGGUGAGGGACGAAAGCCAGGGGCGCGAACCGGAUUAGAUACCCGCGUAGUCC